CGUUUGCUACCGUCGGAAGGACCCCGACGAGACGCGCCGUACCGGGUCAGGACAAGACGACGCACC
rnacentral:ncRNA from 1 species